UACAGAGGGUGCGAGCGUUAAUCGGAAUUACUGGGCGUAAAGCGCACGUAGGUGGCGACGUAAGUCGGGUGUGAAAGCCCCGGGCUCAACCUGGGAACUGCAUUCGAGACUGCAUUGCUGGAGUACGGAAGAGGAAGGCGGAAUUCCCGGUGUAGCGGUGAAAUGCGUAGAUAUCGGGAGGAACAUCAGUGGCGAAGGCGGCCUUCUGGUCCAGUACUGACACUCAAGUGCGAAAGCGUGGGGAGCAAACAGG
rnacentral:rRNA from 1 species